rnacentral:rRNA from 1 species
UACGAAGGGGGCUAGCGUUGCUCGGAAUCACUGGGCGUAAAGGGUGCGUAGGCGGGUCUUUAAGUCGGGGGUGAAAUCCUGGGGCUCAACCUCAGAAUUGCCUCCGAUACUGGCAGUCUCGAGUGCGGGAGAGGUGAGUGGAAUUCCCAGUGUAGAGGUGAAAUUCGUAGAUAUUGGGAAGAACACCAGUGGCGAAGGCGGCUCACUGGCCCGUAACUGACGCUGAGGUGCGAAAGCGUGGGGAGCAAACAGG